rnacentral:tRNA from 1 species
GUGGCUGUAGUUUAGUGGUGAGAAUUCCACGUUGUGGCCGUAGAGACCUGGGCUCGAAUCCCAGCAGCCACA